UUUUUAAUGCAAGUGGAUCAAUUCUACUGGAUUGUAAACCGUAAAGCCACAGUCAUUUAACAUUGUAUGGAGCUUUAUUAAAAACAAGUAUUACUGGUCUGACAUAUACUUCAAAAACAUAAUUCAGACUAUUAGAGGAAUGUAACAAAUUACAUAUUAGGAGUGAAAAAAUAACUAUUGUUAAGUGUCAAUGUAAAUAAAAAUGAUUUGUACCUUAGGUCCUGGUAAUACAAAAUAAAUUUCAAACAGGGCAACAGAUUAUGUAUUAGAACUAGCAGAAUUAUAUUAGAAAUGGAAAAUGAAGAUAGGAAAAUGGUCUUACUAUUAAAGAAAUAAAAGAGAAAAGAUCAAAGGGUUUGAGAAAUUAAAAAAAGUAACAUGGAAAUAUGACAAAUGUAACUGAUAAAACUUUCACUAUUCAGAAGCAGUACAUAUAAAGAACUGAUAUAAAUAUACAUUAAAAAGCCUAGAUUUUAUUCAUUAAGUGGGCCAGAGGAAAUGGUCC
rnacentral:lncRNA from 1 species